ACACAUGCAAGUCGAACGGGAUCCAUCAGGCUUUGCUUGGUGGUGAGAGUGGCGAACGGGUGAGUAAUGCGUGACCGACCUGCCCCAUACACCGGAAUAGCUCCUGGAAACGGGUGGUAAUGCCGGAUGCUCCAGUUGAUCGCAUGGUCUUCUGGGAAAGCUUUCGCGGUAUGGGAUGGGGUCGCGUCCUAUCAGCUUGACGGCGGGGUAACGGCCCACCGUGGCUUCGACGGGUAGCCGGCCUGAGAGGGCGACCGGCCACAUUGGGACUGAGAUACGGCCCAGACUCCUACGGGAGGCAGCAGUGGGGAAUAUUGCACAAUGGGCGCAAGCCUGAUGCAGCGACGCCGCGUGAGGGAUGGAGGCCUUCGGGUUGUAAACCUCUUUUAUCGGGGAGCAAGCGAGAGUGAGUUUACCCGUUGAAUAAGCACCGGCUAACUACGUGCCAGCAGCCGCGGUAAUACGUAGGGUGCAAGCGUUAUCCGGAAUUAUUGGGCGUAAAGGGCUCGUAGGCGGUUCGUCGCGUCCGGUGUGAAAGUCCAUCGCUUAACGGUGGAUCCGCGCCGGGUCGGGCGGGCUUGAGUGCGG
rnacentral:rRNA from 1 species